CUUAAAUCAGAAAGCCAAUAAAUGAAGCAGGCCCAGCCUUUUGUUCUCUUCUUCGUUCUGAAGUUGAUAAACGGCUUCUACUGAUACCUACGUUUUGUUUCUUUUGUCAUUGGAUCCUCUUUGUAUAUGUAUAUGGCCUAAACGUCUUCCAUUGUUUCUUUGCGUUUACAUGUUAUGAUGAUAGAGCGUUGUUUCGUUUCUCUCUUUCUUUUGGCGAACUGUUAAAAGAAUAUAAAGAUUUGUAUGAAGGUGAAAACGAAACCAUACUUAAAAUCAUAAAUGAUCUAAUUAUCAAAGUAUCGUUCGUGGUGUAAUAUAUAUUUAUUGUAUCUAUGGGAAAUCCACGUUCAAUAUUAAUUAAUACAAUAUAUUACAAACGAAUAUAUAAGAGUAAUCAAUAGUUUUGAGGAUACAUGUCUACGUAGGGACAAACAUCCACAAAGAUGCACUUACGUGGCAGGACAAGUGCGAAGAUGAGUCAAGGGACUUCAACUCAAAGAGAGCCCUCUCCUAAUCUGCAAUUCACCCACACUGUCUGGUCGGUAGUUGAAACGUUAGUUGUCGCCGACUUGAGGCGCGAGCUGCACCCAUCCUUAAUUUAUUUUUCCCUAAUUAUAUUUGUUUAAUUAAUCAUUAACCCACAUGACAUUAACUUUGUUAAGGUACACUAUGACAAAUUUAUCAUAUACUGUAUGUGAGAGUAUGUGAAUGUCUUGGCUUCGCGUUUGGUGAUGGG
rnacentral:lncRNA from 1 species